rnacentral:lncRNA from 1 species
CUGAGGAAAGUGGAGACUACAGGCCUAAAAAACAAGACUUUUGAUCUGCCUUAAGACCCAAAGGGACCAUUUACCAUUUGGUUUUAUCUGUUUAGGCUCGACAAAUACUUUGCAUGUUUAAAUUUGGUCACUUGGCACCUGCCGAAUCAAACUACCGAAGCAAAAAGGUAAACCUGACACGUCUCACUGCACCAUUAGAGGAUCUGCUUCCAAAGUAACUGCCCUCAAACUCACCAUUUUACAGCUGCAUCUGGAUACUUUAAAGGUUAACUCUGACGAGGGGUGGUCCUGAUGGAGGGGUGCGCAGAACACGUCCACACAUUGCCACCUACCUCCCCGGCUGGGCGCUCCAGAAGUUAGACCGAGCCCACGGCACGUCCCGGCACGGCCCAGCCCGGCGCAGGAGGGGAGGAGGGGGGAAGGCGCGACUUCCAGCCAGAGCCUUCACAACCCCGGGGUCAGUCGAAGGUGAGGAGCUGCUCUCUUCCACUGGGGGGGAGAGAGAGGCAAAGCGUGCGAAUCUGCCCGCAGAGCGAUGAGAGCUGCGCCGGCGUGCGCGUCGAGCUGUCAGCCCGGGACGGAGAGCGAGCGCGCCGCGACUGCCAGCCGGUCCUGUCUGAAGUAGCUCAGAGCAGAAGACGGGGAUUUCCUGACA